UACGGGGGUGGCAAGCGUUGUUCGGAAUUACUGGGCGUAAAGGGCGCGUAGGCGGGGAGGUAAGUCGGGUGUGAAAUCCCUCGGCUCAACCGAGGAACUGCGCCCGAGACUGCCUUUCUUGAGUCCCGGAGAGGAAGGUGGAAUUCCCGGUGUAGCGGUGAAAUGUGUAGAGAUCGGGAGGAAUACCGGUGGCGAAGGCGGCAUCCUGGACCGGCAUUGACGCUGAGGAGCGAAAGCCAGGGGAGCAAACGGG
rnacentral:rRNA from 1 species